rnacentral:rRNA from 1 species
UACGUAGGGUGCAAGCGUUAAUCGGAAUUACUGGGCGUAAAGCGUGCGCAGGCGGUUUUGUAAGCCAGAUGUGAAAUCCCCGGGCUUAACCUGGGAAUGGCAUUUGGGACUGCAAGGCUCGAGUGCGGCAGAGGAGACUGGAAUUCCUGGUGUAGCAGUGAAAUGCGCAGAUAUCAGGAGGAACACCGGUGGCGAAGGCGGGUC